GGCUCAGUAGUUUAAAAAAAAUACAAGAUUGCAAAUCUUGAGUUGUUUCUAACCCGGGCCU
rnacentral:tRNA from 2 species